AUGGAGUCUCACAGUGUCGCCGGGCUGGAGUGCAAUGGUGUGAUCUCAGCUCACUGCAACCUUCGCCUCCUGGGUUCAAGCGAUUCUCCUGCCUCAGCCUCCCAAGUAGCUGGGAUUACAGGCACCCGCCACCAUGCCUGGCUAAUUUUUUGUAUUUUUAGUUGAGACGGGGUUUCACUAUGUUGGCCAGGCUGGUCUCGAACUUCUGACCUCAUGAUCUGCCCGCCUCGGCCUCCCAAAGUGCUGGGAUUACAAGCGUGAGCCACCGCAUCCGGUCUGCUUAAGUAUUUUCUAUAUGAUAGAAAGUAAAAAUGCUCUGAGAGAAGCAAAACAUAAGGGGCUAUUGGGAGUUCACCGUGAACCCUUCAAAGCCUCCAACGCUGCUGAAUGACAACUAGAAGCUUAUUAAAUGUUUUGAGAGAAUUCUGGCAAGCUCAGAUGUCAGGUUCUCCACAUACGAUUCUACUUGUCAAAUUGCCCAAGAAAUUGCUGAGAAAAUUCAACAACGAAA
rnacentral:lncRNA from 10 species